rnacentral:rRNA from 1 species
CGGGUCUCUUCGGAGGCCAGCGGCGGACGGGUGAGGAACACGUGGGUAAUCUGCCUUUCAGGCCGGAAUAACGCCCGGAAACGGGCGCUAAUGCCGGAUACGCCCGCGAGGAGGCAUCUUCUUGCGGGGGAAGGCCCAAUUGGGCCGCUGAGAGAGGAGCCCGCGGCGCAUUAGCUAGUUGGCGGGGUAACGGCCCACCAAGGCGACGAUGCGUAGCCGACCUGAGAGGGUGACCGGCCACACUGGGACUGAGACACGGCCCAGACUCCUACGGGAGGCAGCAGUAGGGAAUCUUCCGCAAUGGGCGCAAGCCUGACGGAGCAACGCCGCGUGAGCGAAGAAGGCCUUCGGGUUGUAAAGCUCUGUUGCUCGGGGAGAGCGGCAUGGGGGAUGGAAAGCCCCAUGCGAGACGGUACCGAGUGAGGAAGCCCCGGCUAACUACGUGCCAGCAGCCGCGGUAAAACGUAGGGGGCGAGCGUUGUCCGGAAUCACUGGGCGUAAAGGGUGCGUAGGCGGUCGAGCAAGUCUGGAGUGAAAGUCCAUGGCUCAACCAUGGGAUGGCUUUGGAAACUGCUUGACUUGAGUGCUGGAGAGGCAAGGGGAAUUCCACGUGUAGCGGUGAAAUGCGUAGAGAUGUGGAGGAAUACCAGUGGCGAAGGCGCCUUGCUGGACAGUGACUGACGCUGAGGCACGAAA